rnacentral:rRNA from 2 species
GAACGGGUGAGUAACGUGGGCAAUCUGCCCUUCACUCUGGGACAACCCUGGAAACGGGUAAUACCGGAUACUACCCUCGCAGGCUGAGGUUCGAAAGUCCGGCGGUGAAGGAUGAGCCCGCGGCCUAUCAGCUUGUUGGUGAGGUAAUGGCUCACCAGGCGACGACGGGUAGCCGGCCUGAGAGGGCGACCGGCCACACUGGGACUGAGACACGGCCCAGACUCCUACGGGAGGCAGCAGUGGGGAAUAUUGCACAAUGGGCGAAAGCCUGAUGCAGCGACGCCGCGUGAGGGAUGACGGCCUUCGGGUUGUAAACCUCUUUCAGCAGGGAAGAAGGACGGUACCUGCAGAAGAAGCGCCGGCU